rnacentral:ribozyme from 1 species
UGCAUGAAUGCUCUGUAACGGGAUGGGAUCCGAAGCCCUCCGAGGGAUAACAUAGGCUCUCCCAUCCAACUCCUAUUCCGACACGUCCUCGUCGUGCAGAGUGGUAACAUGUGCCAUAUAUCCUAGCUUGGGUACACGGGCUAGAUCCAACCCCUUGGGCGGAUGUUGGCAUAUGGCGAACUAGGAGGGG